rnacentral:lncRNA from 1 species
CAAAAGGCCAAAACACUGCUACUUCCAGUAUGCCUGGUGAGGAGCGCACCGCACUGCCCCUCCCUGAAGGUACCAACUCCAUCCGCAAUCCCCAAUCCCAAUGCAUGCUUGGGAUUGUAGUCCGGCAACCUGUGACCAACGGCCGGAAGUGGCUAGGAGACUACUUCUCCCAGCAUGCCUGGCGAGGCGCGCACCGCGCUGGCCCUCUCUCCUGGGACACGCACCGCCUCCAAUCCUGGUUUAUGCUGGGAUUGUAGUCAGGCAGCCCUGUGAGCAAUUUUUCAGAUUAACUCUUAAGUACUCCACGGCUACAUGCUCCUGAAGCUGUCAUAGUCACAGCCUCAGAUCUGUGCAGGGCGGAUGCACAAGAGCAGAAUCUCCGUGGACAUCUUUCUGGAGCAUCAAUUUUACUGCAAGAUUUUGAAGAAACACAUUUAAUUGAUUUUCAAGGAUUGCAGAAACCGUGAAUGAGGAGGGCUGACUCUAUCUAUGUUUGGAGUCUGUGAAUAUGAACUCUUCCUAUGUUGGUAAAUGGAAAUUUCUUUCACCAAAUGGCUGAACUGCUUUUUCACUGGCAUGUUCAAAAAACUUACAAGAAGAAGGACAAGAACUGAGAAAGAGAAAGGAUAAGAACUGAACAUUGGUGGGAGGCUGAGACAGGUGGAUCACUUGAGGUCAGGAGGGUGAGACCAGCCUGGCCAACGUGGUGAAACCCCGUCUCUACUAAAAGUACAAAAAUUAGCUGGGCAUAGCAGUGGGCACCUGUAAUCCCAGCUACUGGGGAGGCUUAGGCAGGAGAAUCACUUGAAUUCGGGAGGUGGAUGUUGCAGUGAGCCGAGGUGGCACCACUGCACUCUAGCUCGGGCGACAGAGGGAGACUCCAUCCAAAAAACAAAACAAAAAAAACGAAACAAAAAACAUUGGCAAGUGGCACAUUUUCACAAACUAGAAGAGUGGAAUUGUAACAAGCACUCUGAUAGAAAGUCAUGGUUCUUUCCUGCAACUGUCUUUUAAAAAUACUGUGAUUUUCAGAAAAGAAAAAAAAAGAUAUAAUAGGUUAUAAAUUCAUUAGAGAAGAGAGAAAAUAAAUAAUCCCCAGAAGUAAAUUGUCAGCCAGUUUCAAGGUAAAAUGUAGACACAUUAUCCUUGAUCUUUCUGAAUAAUUUUACAGCUUAGGGUAUAGGAGCUUCUAUCACUGCAGAACCAGGAUCACCUGUGGAAAGUCCCUGGUGAAGUCAGCUCCCUUCCAGCCUGUUCCUCAGGCCCAGCAGUAAUGAGUUGUUCUUCCUCCAAGUCAUUCCAUUCAUUGGCAGCAAACCCUGAUAUUUUGGAUAGUAGUUGCUUUUGAUCUUAGAUUUUAACAGAAAGUUUGAUGAAAAGUCUUCAAGACUUACAAGCAUGACCCUCACUUCAGUCAGUCAGUCUGCCCCAGAGGUCCUUGAUUCAACGUAUAGAGAUGGGCAUUUUGAGCAUGUCCUUAAGGCUGAGGUGCAGCUCUAUGGCACAGACUCAUUCUGAAAGAAGCCCAAGUCCCACCCUGAGCUCUCUGUCUCCCAUGUGUGGGCUUAUCAGGGAAGACAGAAGCCCAGAGACCCCUGCACUUGGGGAUCGGCCAUAGGAGCUGCUUCCUGGGUGGGGAGAUGGGAGCUAGCAGCUCAGAAUGGGGCCAUAAGGUAAGUUCCAAACAGCUGUGUCACAGAGUAUGUCAGCAGAACUUUGUGACAUCAGUUGCAAAGAGAGGGAGCAUGUGAAGGACAAAGCCUUGAGUGAUGACAUAGCCCAUUCCGGGGAAGGGAAGAAAUUAGCAUCCUAAGGUUAUAAUAUAGAUAACCAAUGUGCAACAACUACAAUAACAAAAAUUUAAC